rnacentral:miRNA from 1 species
CCUUGUUAGAGAUGCAAAUGCUUAGAAUCUAGUCCCAGAUAUUUUGAAUCAGAAACUCUUGGGUGUGGAGUUCAGGAAUCUGCAUUUUAAC